rnacentral:lncRNA from 1 species
AUGUCCACAAGAGACCGUCACACUACAAACAUGGAAGGAGGGACUCCAGAGACCAGUCCUGGAGGAACGGAGAUCUGGAGCCGUACGGGGAGCAGGGUUACACCAGCAGAGAGGAGGACAACGAGAGCAUCACCUCCAGAGACAGACAUUAUCCUGAUGAGAUCAGGGACCAUUACGAUGACCCCUCCCCCUACACCAACAGCAGCUAUGGUAGCAGCUUCAGCAGUAGCAGAAGAACCACCCGCAGACGCCUGCUUCCUGCCACGCCCACAGGUGAGACCUGCACUGAACUGGGUCUCGUCUGGUGUUUUACUCUUCCUGUCUCUUCUUAACUUCUGUUUUGUUGUUUGUGAUGCUCGAGUUUCCAGAGUAAACACACUCAGCCAGAUCUCUAUGUGUAGCCCUGCCCCGAGCAAGGGCACCCCAAAGGGGUGGCCAGGGGUGGCCAUGGCCAGCCCUAGAAAAUACAUACGUUUCUGCUGCUCACCAUUUAAAAAAAGUUUUUAUCUCCAUAGUUUGUUUUUAGCACAGCAACAGGUGAAUUAA